rnacentral:rRNA from 1 species
GACAGAGGGUGCAAACGUUGUUCGGAAUUACUGGGCGUAAAGCGGGUGUAGGCGGUUCGGUAAGUCGGAUGUGAAAUCCCAUGGCUCAACCAUGGAAGUGCACCCGAAACUGCGUAGCUAGAGUCUCGGAGAGGAAGGCGGAAUGCUUGGUGUAGAGGUGAAAUUCGUAGAUAUCAAGCGGAACACCGGUGGCGAAGGCGGCCUUCUGGACGAUGACUGACGCUGAGACGCGAAAGCGUGGGGAGCAAACAGG